GAGUGCCUGCGGGAUGGGAGGGGGCGCCAGGGAAGGAGUGCGCGAGGAGGAGCGUUGCAAAUGUCGUGACAAGAAGUUUCCGUGCGCCCGAGAGCGUGUGAAUUGCUCCUAAUUACCGUGUCCGGUGCGCCUCUCCGCGUAGACGUGUGUAACCCCUCUACUCCUGGGGCUCCGGCUCCACUGAGCCACUCUCCCUUGGCCCGGGGCGCUUGGCAAGGCCUAGCUUCCCAAGUGGCCCCGGAGGCCUGGGGCGGGACAGGAGCAGGUGACAAUUCAAUUACCGCUGUCGAAGUGGGAGUGGAACCCGGGUGCCGGGGUGGGGGAGGGAGGGCGUUCACCGCAGACUUGCCAAGAUGGUUUUUGCUGGCUUCCUUCUGACCGUGACCGUGUGCUUCCACGUCCGACGGGCUCCGAGGUAGUUGAGAGCCGGUUUGCUCCCUUCCCCCGCCCUCUAUCACCUUUAAUGCUUAGUUUCUUCGUUUGCAAAGUCCUGACACCGUGGGCGUCACGGAGUGCCAAAGUAAAAAGCCGCCUUUGCGACUCCCCAGAUCCUCUGGAGGCUGGAGGAACCGGCCAGACGGUCAGACCCAUCAGCCCACAAGACUUCCGCAGGGGGCGAGGGCACUGGACCUGCUUUGACUUGGCCUUCCUCGACCCGUGCUGACGUCACGGCCCGAGAACCCCCUUGGGUCUGCGGAGGAGAAACCCUUGGGCGUCGGAAGUCGGGUCUCUGCCACUGCAGACGGUCAUCUGCUAGGCACCCAGAGCCUGCCUCAGGAGGACCCGCGACUGGGACUGGAAAGAAGAGGAGAUCAGCAGGACCCCAAAACAGAACCAUGGUCCUGCAAGGGUCAGGAUGCGCUCCGCCCAAGGAGCCAACUGAGGAUCCGACUGGGGGAGAUAAGAAGGGGCGUUGAGCCUCAGAAUCUAGCAGACAGCUUCCAGAAAGUUCGCCAGGCCUGUUUCAAAGGAGCCUGGACACGAAUAAUAUAGAAUAGUAGCCUGGUGCCCGCCACAGGGAAAGUUCUCCAGAGCCGGGAGAAAGGAUUUGAUAGGGAGUUAAGGGUCUCGAGAUCUCCAGGGGCCAGAGGGUAGAAUAACUCUGACUAUGCCUGAGUGCUGGCCUGUGGGAGGGAGGGGCAGGGAGGCUUCGCGUGCUGCCAGAUUCCACGCGAGGCUUCUACUCGCCUGCUUUUAGAGCUUUUGGGGGGAAUAUUUCAGAAAAAAAAUGUGGACCCCCAAACAAAAUAACCUAACCAGAUCCGCUUAGUUUUCUGGGAAGGGUGGCCUAACUUUUCUCGCACCUGAGGCUUGCGCACUUAGAUGUCCUGACACUUAGAUGGAGACGACAACGGUUACCGGAACCCCAGCUCUUGCUUUGAGCUGGAUCGAACCUGUUUUGUCUUGUCUUGUUUUGUUUCUUCCUUUCCCACAGACAGGGUUGUUUCAUAGUGUAACAAGCCCUGCCUAGACUCGCUUUGUAGACCAGGCUGGACUCUGAACACACAGAGAUCCGCCUGCCUCUGCCUUUCCAGUGCUGGGAUUAAAGUCCUGAGCCACCA
rnacentral:lncRNA from 1 species